UUCAAAAGUAUCAAUCAAUCAUAUUUUUGAGGUAGCAAUUCCAGCUCAUAUGACUGCUUCAGAGCUCACUACCUUGAACGGCAUAUUCUGUUACAAGGUGUUAUCCCAAAUAUGCAUUCAUCUUAUGGUCGCUGUAGUAGGAUUGGUUCUACCAACUGCUUUCGUUUCCUAAUUUGUCAAUAUUUUUCACUGGCGGAAGUUCUGAUCAAAUCUUCUGUCAACGAUGUUCAUCUUUCCUCGUCUUUAUUACUAUUUUCUCACUCUUGAUAUUUUCUUUUGGUUGUUGCAGUUGAUAGAGUUACUCACUGUUGUUGAUUUUUUCGUCGUUGUCGUGAAGAUGGCGUUAUUGUGUCAAUAGUGGUUUCCAGUCUCAGGCCUGGUUGCACAAAUUCUUGUUAAAUUUAAAUCAUGAUUGAAUUCCACGAAAACCAAUCAGAGAACACCCAGAGAAGGCUCCUCUGAUUGGUUCUCUGGGUAUUUAAUAACGGUUUAAAUUUAACAGGCUUUUCUGCAACAGAGACUUAAUCUCAGUUUUGGUUGGAGGGUGUUUUUUGACUGAGGAUAUUUGUUUUCUGUUAUCUUUUCCAGAAAUGUCAAAUUGAAAGUGAGGUGAUUGAGGUGGCUGAGACUCGUUGAGAGGAUGAGUGUCUCAAGAUUGUAAAACAGGUCCUCAGAAACAACCCAGGAGGAAGAAGGCUGAGAAGACGUCCGCGAAAGCGUUGGCUGGAGGAUUUGGAGGACGAUAUUAGGAAGCUGGGUGACAGGGGAUGGAGACGUAAGGCUGCUGAUAGAGACGAAUGGAGAGGCUUUCUGAAGGAGGUCAAGGCUCUGAAUUAGCUGUAGUGCCAAGGAAUUAUAAAAUUUCAUCUUCAUUCUCAUAGACGAACAUUGGAAUACCUUCUAUAGAGUGAAGUUCUUCCACUUUUCUUAUAGUGAAGCCUAUGUUCUUACGUCCGGAAUUUUAUUAGUGAAGUUCAGUACCGAAGUUAAUUAAUGCAAUUAAAACAGUGAUAAUUCAGUGGUUAGUGAAGUAAAUAUGUAUAACUGUUUGCACUUCAAGACGAAGGUUUGGCUACCCUACUUCAUGACUCAAAGGUUUUUUCGCAGACAAUUAAUGAGGUGUGUCGACCGUCUGAGGUGCUUUGAGGUUGGUAGCCUUUCUGAAAGGUCUCCUCCUAGUAUUGUGCAUAGUAAUGGUCUCUCAGGGUAGUCGAACAUCGGUGGCACAGUCUUCUCAUCCUAGUAGUUGACCUCCAUGACAAGCUCGUACUGUACUUGUACCUCCACACCACUCGGCAAUAGUGCGCCACUGACAGCCAAUCCUCACCAUUGAGCAAUCGUAUCAGUUGAAUAUCAUCUAUAUACUAGCCGUCAGGCUCGCUUCGCUCGCCAUAUCCGUCUAGCCAGGGGGCUCCGCCCCCUGGACCCCUCGACUGGAUCGUCCAAG